rnacentral:lncRNA from 1 species
GAGCAGUUUUGAAUUUUAACUAACGGAAACACAAAGAAUGAAAAAGUUAUAAACAUUUUUAAGAAGGUGACAUUUAUUUUCAAAAGAUAAAAAGAAGUAAUAAUAAAAAGUGUUUUUGUCUAGUUGAAAAGUAUGACCCAUGAUCUUACUCAUGCAUAAUUACACAAGUAGGACCUUAACUCCUUUUCCACAUUUUGAUUUAUAAAUAGACGGCAUAUAUUUUUAAUUGUAUAGUAGAUUCUGAUCCGCAUUUUAGAAAAUCAGAAUUAUAUUUAAACAAAAUUUUUAAUUUUUAAUAUAUAAUAAUUUUAGA